rnacentral:misc_RNA from 1 species
AGAAGAGAGAAAAAAGAAGAAAGAAUUUAAAAAAAUAAUAAAAAAAAACAAACAUUUUGCAUACAAACUAACUGAGCAAAUUUAGUUUUUCUUAAUCAUUAUUUUCACUCGAUCAAUUAACAAGUGCAAAGAAAUAAGCUGUGGUGUAACGGGGGACAUAAACGCGAUAUUUUCAUCGCCUCCGCCUUUUGUGGAUUGACCAUGGCUGGAGGCAUGUGUGACGAGGGUGUUAUAAAAGUAUGUUGUUAGUCACAUUGACCAUAUACCGAAGAGAUUUGGGCUUUCUAUGGAGGAUUUCUGUUCCAACCUUGUAAAAGUGCGUUUUCAAGUUCAAAAUCACCCUUCUUUUGAUGCAGUAGGAGGCCCUACCCCUCCGAACGGGGGAGGGCUCCCUUCUCUCUGCCCUGGACGCUUCUACGCCAUUUCAGUUUGGUCUUUGCUAGCACACCUAUGGUUGAAAUGUUGGUGUUUGGUUUUGGCACAUCUCUUCUUUGCCUUGUUGUUGAGUAUUUUUCUCUAGAGUUUAGGUUGUGCCUGAGGUCCUCUGUCUUCCCUGAGCUUUGAUCCCCAAUGACAGCGCUGGAGAUGGUGGCGGCGUUAGUUGCUACUAAGGUUCUUCUGCCAUAGCUAGGGUUUGGUUGGUGGACUGGGUUAUGCGCUAGGCAUAGGUUUUCUUGUUACUCUAUGGGAUGUUUGUAAUUGAGCAGAGCUUAGCUAUUUUAAUUAUAAUUGG